AUGCUCAUUUCGGCAGCACAUAUACUAAAAUUAGAAUGAUACAGAGAAGAUUAGCACAGCCCCUGGGCAAGGAUGACAUGGAAAUUUGUGAAGCAUUCCAUAUAACU
rnacentral:snRNA from 1 species